rnacentral:pre_miRNA from 1 species
AGUGGGAUAGCUAGGUCAAAUGGUGGUUUCAUCCUAAGUUUUCUAAGGAAUUUCCAUAUUGCUUUCCCAAGUGGUUGCACCAAUUUGCAGUCCCACCAGCCAU